GACGAACGCUGGCGGCGUGCUUAACACAUGCAAGUCGAACGGAAAGGCCAUGCUUUUGUUGGGUGCUCGAUUGGCGAACGGGUGUGUAACACGUGAGUAACCUGCCCCUGACUUUGGGAUAACUUCAGGAAACUGCGGAUCAUACCGGGUAGGAGCUCCUGCUGCGUGGUGGGGGUUGGAAAGUUUCGGCGGUUGGGGAUGGACUCGCGGCUUAUCAGCUGGUUGGUGUGGUAGUGGCUUACCAAGGCUUUGACGGGUAGCCGGCCUGAGAGGGUGACCGGGCACAUGGGGACUGAGAUACGGCCCAGACUCCUACGGGAGGCAGCAGUGGGGAAUAUGGCACAAUGGGCGGAAGCCUGAUGCAGCAACGCCGCGUGCGGGAUGACGGCCUUCGGGGUGUAAACCGCUGUCGCCUGUGACGAAGCGUGAGUGACGGUAAUGGGUAAAGAAGCAACGGCUAACUACGUG
rnacentral:rRNA from 1 species